rnacentral:tRNA from 1 species
CGGGAUGUAGCGCAGCCUGGUAGCGCGCGCGCAUGGGGUGCGUGAGGUCGCAGGUUCAAAUCCUGUCAUCCCGACAA